ACACAGCGCAGAGAAACAUUAGCUAAUGCAGGGGUGCCUAAACUCGGACCUGGAGGGCCGGUGUCCUGCAGAGUUUUGCUCCAACCCCAAUCAGACA